rnacentral:lncRNA from 1 species
AUAUAUACAGUUAGGGUCUGUUUGUUGCACGAAGGUGGGGUGGAAGUGGGGAGGGGAAAGUAAUUUUCGGUGAAAAUUGACCACUUUCGUUGUUUGGUCCAUCGUAAUUUUAUUACGCCCGAAAGUCUAGUUCAUCCAAAAUAAUGAAAUUAACUUCACCCUCCUAUAGGGCAAAGUCAAUUUCAGUGAGGUUAAAAGAGGCAAGAGUGGAAAUUGAUUUGUUAGAGUUACUUUUUUCUCUACCCUUUCCUCUCCCGAGUCCCAGACCCAACUCCACAUCGCCAUUUUUUUUUCUCAGCAGACACCACAAAAAAAAAAAAAAAAAUCUGGUAAGGAUGUAACCAUACAUAUUGGAUGUGAUAUUAUUAUUUUUGGUGUGAUAAUGAUGUGCACAAUAUAUUUUGUUAUUUUGGGUGUGAUAUUUUGAGCAAUGCUAAUUUCAUUUCAUCCAAAUAUAUUCAAUUGUAGAAAUAAUUAAAUUUUUUAUUUUGAUUAUAUGUCUAAAAUAUAAUCAAACUUGGUUAGGUAAGUUUUAAUAUAUUUUUUGUUUAAUUUGUAUAUUUAGAAAAAGAUGAAAUAUGAAUUUGUUAAAUGUUAAUAAUUUUUUAACUUUAGAAUUUUAUUUGUUGUAUUAUUAUAAUUUAUAUGCAAACAAAUAUAUAUAUAUAUAUAUAAUUAUAUUAAUUUUUAUUUAUUAUAAUUUAUUAUUCACUAAGUUACAAAAUAGAGAAUGAUAUUACUUCGGAGGUAAGUAUACUGGGGAUGGAGAGCUACACCUUUUAAGUCAUCUACUUCCUACCAAACAAACAAUAGAACUCGCAGAACUGCACUUCCACAUCUAGAAACAAACAGCGGAAGUGAAUUAAUUUUCACCCCAAGUCUACUUACGUUGAAACAAACAUGCCCUUAAUGAAUCAGUUUUGAACACUCAGU